CCUUAUCUUCGUGAAAAGGGACGCUUCAGUCACCAGGCUACAACAUAGCCGAAUUCAUCACACAAUACCAUCUGUGUGAUGAAGUGACUCAAAAAAAAUAGUUCAACUAAAUUAAUCCAUAGUUUUCGUAUCAAUAACGGUUUAUAUAGUUUACGAAAAAUAAAUAAUUUCAAACAUCCGAAGAAGAUGAGUCAAAAUACUGUAUUUCCAAUAAUUUUUCAAUGCAUUGAGUAGUCGCCAUUUUUCUAAAAAAUCGAUCAAUGACCAAACACAAGUGGAGCGAGCGCCUAUCACACCGCUGGGCGUUUCUGGAAUAGACCAAUUGAUGGAAGCCUGAUGUUUACUGACUGUUAGACGUUGUUGCGGGACGUCUACGUAUCCAAUACUGACGACCUAAGCUAAGCCUAAGGCUGUCAGUACCUAGGUAAACCUUUGAAGUUCAAUGAGUCCCAUACCAUUACGCCACUACACCCAAAUCGCCAUUUUUAAGAAAAAAAAAUAAAAAAAAAAAUCGAUCGAUGACCAAGCAAAAGUGGAGCGAGCGCCUAUCACACCGCUGGGCUUUUCUGGAAUAGGCACAUUGAUGGAAGCCUAAGGUUUACUGACCAUUAGACGUUGUGUCGGACGUCUACAUAGCCAAUACUGAUGACCUAAGCUAAGCCUAAGUCUGUCAGUACCUAGGUAAACCUUUGAUUUUCAAUGCGUCCCACACCAUUACGCCACUACGCCCCGAUCGAAGAUAAAUUUUUUUUUCAACACAAUCUAAAAAACCACAAGAAAUUUGCCAUCUCAUUCUAACCAAUAAAAAUUUGCAUCACUACGUAA